GAGUGAACGCUGGCGGUAGGCCUAACACAUGCAAGUCGAACGGCAGCACAGUAAGAGCUUGCUCUUACGGGUGGCGAGUGGCGGACGGGUGAGGAAUACAUCGGAAUCUACUUUUUCGUGGGGGAUAACGUAGGGAAACUUACGCUAAUACCGCAUACGACCUACGGGUGAAAGCAGGGGAUCUUCGGACCUUGCGCGAUUGAAUGGGCCGAUGUCGGAUUAGCUAGUUGGCGGGGUAAAGGCCCACCAAGGCGACGAUCCGUAGCUGGUCUGAGAGGAUGAUCAGCCACACUGGAACUGAGACACGGUCCAGACUCCUACGGGAGGCAGCAGUGGGGAAUAUUGGACAAUGGGCGCAAGCCUGAUCCAGCCAUACCGCGUGGGUGAAGAAGGCCUUCGGGUUGUAAAGCCCUUUUGUUGGGAAAGAAAAGCAGCAGGUUAAUACCCCGCUGUUCUGACGGUACCCAAAGAAUAAGCACCGGCUAACUUCGUG
rnacentral:rRNA from 1 species